AAAGAUCGCAGCCUUCGGCAGCUCCAGGGUUUUGUGAACACCUGUAGGAGCUGCCGAAGGCUGCGAUCUUU
rnacentral:misc_RNA from 1 species